rnacentral:rRNA from 1 species
UACGUAGGGGGCAAGCGUUGUCCGGAUUUAUUGGGCGUAAAGAGCUCGUAGGCGGCUUGGCAAGUCGGGUGUGAAAACUUCAGGCUCAACCUGGAGCGGCCACUCGAUACUGCCAUGGCUUGAGUCCGGUAGGGGACCACGGAAUUCCUGGUGUAGCGGUGAAAUGCGCAGAUAUCAGGAGGAACACCAAUGGCGAAGGCAGCACUCUGGGACGGUACUGACGCUGAGACGCGAAAGCGUGGGGAGCAAACAGG